GAUUAAAUACCAAACCCUCAGUCCAAAAAUGUUUUUCUCCAAAUAUAACUUCACUUGUACAGUUUUAAUAGCUGCUUGUAGUUCUGGGACUCCAGAGUUUAAGUCAGUAGACAUUUUAUGCUUUACCAUUUGUGCUUCAUAUGUUUGUUGUUCACCUAUUUGUUCAUGUUUUUCUUUCUCUUUGCAAAGGUGAAGCGGUCCGCUGGGACGUUGAGGGGUCUGUUAAAAAUCCUUCUUGCAAUUGAGCGGUACAACACGAGAUUCAUCGGGAGACCAUGAUAUAAGCCCCCGCCGCAAAACAACAUGAAGAUUAAACAACAUCAAUGAUUUUAAAAUCUCCAGCAAAACCAAAACACUUGCCCCGUGUGAGGCUCGAACUCACGACCUUCAGAUUAUGAGACUGACGCGCUGCCUACUGCGCCAACGAGGCCUGAAGAGCAAGUGUGCAAAACCUCCCCAUGUUCCUGCAGGAACGCAUCUGUGAGUCUCAGCAAACUGGUUUGCAUUUCAGGUCUGUCCUUGAUUUUGAAUAUCUGUUCUUUACUUGAUAUGUUUGGGUUAACAUCUGCUACAAUCUCAAAAGACAAGUUUGUACAAAAAUGACUGAGGAACAAUAGAGCAGUUUAAACAAUGAGAUUCAACCUCGCCCACUAGAGGGAGCCAAAGCUAACAGCCACUUUAAACACUGUAGAUUUAGGCCCAGUUCUAUUUUAUACCCCUUCACCUAUCUCUCUCUCUCGAAUUGGCAAUAUCUGAGAAAUGAGAAAAUCUGAUUCAUUUGAAAUAUUUAUGCUGAAAUGUAUUUAUGAAAUGUAUGCUGAAAAGUAAAAUGUAUCAUGAUUUACACAAAAAUAUAAAGCAUAAAAAAUGUGUUCCGUGUUGUUGAUAAGAACAGUUAUUAUUGAUUGAGCACCAAUAAUCAUAACAGAGCAGCAAAUCAGCAUAUUAGAAUGAUUUCUGAAGGAUCAUGUGACACCGAAGACUGGAGUAAUUC